rnacentral:rRNA from 1 species
UACGGGGGGGGCAAGCGUUGUUCGGAAUUACUGGGCGUAAAGGGCUCGUAGGCGGCCAACUAAGUCAUACGUGAAAUCCCCCGGCUUAACCGGGGAACUGCGUCUGAUACUGGAUGGCUUGAGUUCGGGAGAGGGAUGCGGAAUUCCAGGUGUAGCGGUGAAAUGCGUAGAUAUCUGGAGGAACACCGGUGGCGAAGGCGGCAUCCUGGACCGAUACUGACGCUGAGGAGCGAAAGCGUGGGGAGCGAACAGG